UACGUAGGGUGCAAGCGUUGUCCGGAAUUAUUGGGCGUAAAGAGCUCGUAGGCGGUCUGUCGCGUCGGCUGUGAAAACUCGGGGCUCAACCCCGAGCCUGCAGUCGAUACGGGCAGACUAGAGUGCGGUAGGGGAGACUGGAAUUCCUGGUGUAGCGGUGAAAUGCGCAGAUAUCAGGAGGAACACCGGCGGCGAAGGCGGGUCUCUGGGCCGUAACUGACGCUGAGGAGCGAAAGCAUGGGGGAGCGAACAGG
rnacentral:rRNA from 1 species